rnacentral:rRNA from 1 species
UACGUAGGGUGCAAGCGUUAAUCGGAAUUACUGGGCGUAAAGCGUGCGCAGGCGGUCUUGCAAGUCAGAUGUGAAAUCCCCGGGCUCAACCUGGGAACUGCAUUUGUGACUGCAAGGCUGGAGUACGGUAGAGGGGGAUGGAAUUCCGCGUGUAGCAGUGAAAUGCGUAGAUAUGCGGAGGAACACCGAUGGCGAAGGCAAUCCCCUGGACCUGUACUGACGCUCAUGCACGAAAGCGUGGGGAGCAAACAGG